AUUGAACGCUGGCGGCAGGCCUAACACAUGCAAGUCGAGCGAGUGGCGGACGGGUGCGUAAUGUCUGGGAAACUGCCUGAUGGAGGGGGAUAACUACUGGAAACGGUAGCUAAUACCGCAUACCAUCAGAUGUGCCCAGAUGGGAUUAGCUAGUUGGUUGGGUAACGGCUCACCUAGGCGACGAUCCCUAGCUGGUCUGAGCGGAUGACCAGCCACACUGGAACUGAGGCACGGUCCAGACUCCUACGGGAGGUAGCAGUGGGGAAGAUUGCACAAUGGGCGCAAGCCUGAUGCAGCCAUGCCGCGUGUGUGAAGAAGGCCUUCGGGUUGUAAAGCACUUUCAGCGAGGAGGCGUUACUCGCAGAAGAAGCACCGGCUAACUCCGGGCCAGCAGCCGCGGUAAUUC
rnacentral:rRNA from 1 species